rnacentral:rRNA from 1 species
GAUGAACGCUGGCGGCGUGCCUAAUACAUGCAAGUCGAGCGAACAGACGAGGAGCUUGCUCCUCUGACGUUAGCGGCGGACGGGUGAGUAACACGUGGAUAACCUACCUGUAAGACUGGGAUAACUUCGGGAAACCGGAGCUAAUACCGGAUAACAUGUUGAACCGCAUGGUUCAACAGUGAAAGACGGUCUUGCUGUCACUUAUAGAUGGAUCCGCGCCGCAUUAGCUAGUUGGUAAGGUAACGGCUUACCAAGGCAACGACGCGUAGCCGACCUGAGAGGGUGAUCGGCCACACUGGAACUGAGACACGGUCCAGACUCCUACGGGAGGCAGCAGUAGGGAAUCUUCCGCAAUGGGCGAAAGCCUGACGGAGCAACGCCGCGUGAGUGAAGAAGGUCUUCGGAUCGUAAAACUCUGUUAUUAGGGAAGAACAAAUGUGUAAGUAACUAUGCACGUCUUGACGGUACCUAAUCAGAAAGCCACGGCUAACUACGUG